rnacentral:rRNA from 1 species
CUGUAUGUUAAACGAGAAGACUUUAGAUAUGAUCCAGAGUACCACGGGACACGUGAAACCCUGUGGGAAGCAGGAGGGACCACCCUCCAAGGCUAAAUACUACCUAGUGACCGAUAGCGUAUAGUACCGUGAGGGAAAGGUGAAAAGAACCCCGGGAGGGGAGUGAAAUAGAACCUGAAACCCUGCACUUACAAGCUGUGGAAGCACAUUUCUUGUGUGACCGCGUACUUUUUGUAGAACGGGCCAACGAGUUACGUUAAGUAGCAAGGUUAAGCACUUAAGGUGCGGAGCCGUAGCGAAAGCGAGUUUUAACUGAGCGUUCAGUUACUUGACGUAGACCCGAAACCGGGCGACCUACCCAUGAGCAGGAUGAAGCGAAAGUAAAAUUUCGUGGAGGUCCGAACCCACGAGCGUUGAAAAGCUCGGGGAUGACUUGUGGGUAGCGGUGAAAUUCCAAUCGAGCCCGGAGAUAGCUGGUUCUCCCCGAAAUAGCUUUAGGGCUAGCCUCAAGGUGAGAGAUACGGAGGUAGAGCACUGAAUGUCCUAGGGGGUAUUGCACCUACCGAAGACUAUCAAACUCCGAAUGCCGUCAUCUUAUACUUGGGAGUCAGACUGUGGGUGAUAAGAUUCAUAGUCGAAAGGGCAACAGCCCAGAUCGUCAGCUAAGGUCCCUAAAUGUAAGUUAAGUGGUAAAGGAUGUGGGAUUGCACAGACAACCAGGAUGUUGGCUUAGAAGCAGCCACUCAUUCAAAGAGUGCGUAAUAGCUCACUGGUCGAGUGAUCCUGCGCCGAAGAUUUCCGGGGCUAAAACUUACUACCGAAGCUACGGCAUCAUUAUGAUGGGUAGGGGAGCUUCCCAUACGGGUUGAAGCAUGACCGUAAGGACAUGUGGACAGUAUGGGAGUGAGAAUGUUGGCAUGAGUAGCGAGAUGUGGGUGAGAAUCCCACAGGCCGUAAACCCAAGGUUUCCAGGGGAAGGUUCGUCCGCCCUGGGUUAGUCGGGACCUAAGCUGAGGCCGAAAGGCGUAGGUGAUGGACAACAGGUUGAUAUUCCUGUACUACCGAUAACCGUUUGAGAGAUGGGAUGACACAGUAGGAUAAGCUAAGCACACUGUUGGUUAUGUGUGCCCAAGCAUUGAGGCAGUCAAAGUAGGCAAAUCCGCUUUGAUAAUGCUGGGAUGUGAUGGGUAGCGAAAUUUAGUAGCGAAGUAGCUGAUUUCACACUGUCAAGAAAAGUCUCUAUCGAGGUUAAAGGUACCCGUACCGCAAACCGACACA